rnacentral:rRNA from 1 species
UACGUAGGGCGCAAGCGUUGUCCGGAAUUAUUGGGCGUAAAGAGCUCGUAGGCGGCUUGUCACGUCGGAUGUGAAAGCCCGGGGCUUAACCCCGGGUCUGCAUUCGAUACGGGCAGGCUAGAGUGUGGUAGGGGAGAUCGGAAUUCCUGGUGUAGCGGUGAAAUGCGCAGAUAUCAGGAGGAACACCAAUGGCGAAGGCAGCUCACUGGGACGGUACUGACGCUGAGACGCGAAAGCGUGGGGAGCGAACAGG